rnacentral:rRNA from 1 species
UACAGAGGUCUCAAGCGUUGUUCGGAUUCAUUGGGCGUAAAGGGCGCGUAGGCGGCGGGGUAAGUCGGGUGUGAAAUCUCAGGGCUCAACCCUGAAACUGCACUCGAUACUGCUCUGCUUGAGGACUGGAGAGGAGACUGGAAUUCACGGUGUAGCAGUGAAAUGCGUAGAUAUCGUGAGGAAGACCCAUGGCGAAAGCAUGUCUCUGGAAACUACCUGACGCUGAUGCUCGAAGGCCAGGGGAGCAAACGGG